rnacentral:rRNA from 1 species
UACAGAGGCCUCAAGCGUUGUUCGGAAUUACUGGGCGUAAAGGGAAUGUAGGUGGUGAGGCAAGUCAGAUGUGAAAGCCCUGGGCUUAACCCGGGAACUGCAUUUGAUACUGCUUUGCUUGAGUUCAGGAGAGAUGAGUGGAAUUCCUGGUGUAGGAGUGAAAUCCGUAGAUAUCAGGAGGAAUACCAAUGGCGAAGGCAACUCGUUGGCCUGACACUGACACUGAGAUUCGAAAGCAUGGGUAGCAAACAGG